GAGCAUGAAAAUUAGAGGUUAGGUCACAGGUGGUCCUCUAAUGUUCAUCAUGUACGAACGUACGAGAGCUACUUUACAAUUUGUUUCACAUCAUAUUAAUUUUCACAUGGACAUCGGGUUCAUAACCUAAAUAUUUUACGCGAUUCAACGUUUGACUUGUUUACUGUUUACUGGCGUUUAAUUUCCAGAUUAAAAAUGUAAUGCUCGAUACCUUACCUAUAGGCUAUAAUGAUAUAAUAUGUUCACCGACUCGCACUCGUGUAGUAUUUGUUAUAAAAUAUAUUAUAUUUGUGUCUUGUGAAAUGUGAAUUUAAAACUGUUCAAUGUACGUCAUUUUUAAAAGUGUUGUCGUUGUUAUUGUCAGACAUUAUCAGAAAUGUCCUUGAGUAAAAUCAAUCGAAAUGCGUUGUUAAUGGCUUUACUGCCAAAAAUAUGGCCUGCCAUCGUUUUCCCAAUGAGAAAAAGGAUUCAGCGAGGCUUUUGGAAUGGACAAAGCUGGUGGGCUUUACGGCAGAUGAUCAUCAUACAUUCAAGAACAAAUUUGUUUGUUCAGUAUAAUUUGCUGAAAAAUGUUCUAGUCCUGGAAAAUAGAUUGAAUGUAAAUGUGUAUCCUACUUUAAAUUUACCUGCAGGCGCCUGCAGUUAGUGAAUUUCUUAAUGACGAGGACAACCAGUUGAUAUUGAACAGUAAUAAUUAGAAUACAUUUCAAAAUAGCAGCAUUCUAAACACUGCAGCAGUGGCGCCGAGUUACCCUACCAUACAUCUACUCAUAAAUUAUGAGGCAUAAUUAAGUUAUGAUGUAAAUAAAAUGUGGCCUACUCUCAGUAUACGUUUGCUUAAAAUCAAACAAUCGUUGAUUUGGAAAUGUAUUAUUUGCGAGAGUAGUAUAAAAGAUGAAAUGAUCCAACACCAUAACAUACUAAAACCAUUAUUUGUCUGCCGUAAAACCAUGCCUAAUACUGUAAAUCACCCAUGCAGUCUUCGUAUGGAAAGGGUCAAUUUGGUAAAAAUAUUAAUAAUCAGUCAAUGGAGAAUAGUAAUGAUGGUGGCAUGACUAGUGGUAUAAUAAUACGGAGGAUAUGGCUGAUACAUUCACUGCUGCUGCCGCCACAACCAGCCCAGUCUUAUUCUGACGCAAUGGUUUCGGUAAGGCAAACUUCCCCACAACUUAAACAGAUAGAGCAGCAUUUAUAUGUUACGUGCAUGGGAUGAAGAUUCUAUUGUUGCUAGCGAUGCAGAGGGAGGAGUCGAAAUCAUAACACAACAUAAUGUAAACGGUAAAGAAAAAAACACCAUUUAACCCGAAUACUGUCAUUGCUCAAUUGAUAGAAAUUAAAAAUUUUAAAUUAGGUUGGUAUUGAUAAUAAUAAUGAUAGUUGUAUUUCUGAUAGUGAUAGUAGUUGUACCUAUUCUGAAUCAGAUAUUGAGAAAUUCACUAAAAAAUAGGAAUCCAUUAAUUUCUUAUACACAAGUACCAUCCGACCCCAAAAGGUUAAUAAUAUUGCCACUUGCGUAGCUUCCUUUUUUAAAUGACUCAGUUGCAUCAAAAUAAAUUUGUUGUCUGAAAUUACACUAGUAUUGGAUACUUGUGUUAUGACUUACCCGGUUGGUCCGGUUAACAUCAGCUUGAGUUCGCCGUCAAUUGGUUUCCUCCAGAAGACGGUUAUGAAAAUUUGGUAGGUUGGGUUCGUCAGAAAUCAACACAUAACAAGUUUAUAGAUUUACUACUGGUUUAUUAAAUUGAGAAGGUGCACAACUGAAUUAUUAUAUAUACUUAGAUUAAUUAAUAUAUCUUUUAACGUAUUAUGGUUUCGACGUGUGACACUCGACUGACGUCGCAUUGUUAGACAUAAUUUCGCGACGGCGGUCGACAGGUGCUACGUAAGCUAAAACUACUACCUAAAGACAGGGGUUCAUAACACUUGCGUUGUUAAAGUUCUCUGUGUAUGGUGCAGCCCUUGUAGUUGGAAGGAUGAUUAUUUUCACACAGAGCACAUUUCGGUGGAUAUUCACGAGAGUUUGGACAGGCUGUUAAUGGAUUAUUGGCUCCACAUCUUGUACAGCGUGGACUUUAAAGUUACUGAUUAGUAUUCAUUUUUGAUAGUAUUAGUUUCUGUAGAGUGAUGUAGGUUCUGAAUCACUAUGCUUAAUGGCUUAUCUUUUAUUAGUUUAUAGGUGUGAUAUUCGGCUUUCACUUCUUUUAAGAGCCGAAUGGUUUCUCUAAAAGUUUAAGGGUUUUUUGUUUGAAUUUUUAGGCGAUCCACUGGAUUUGCAUAUGGAAUUAUCAACUCCAAUAAGUUCAAUUAAUUUGGUACAAAGGCCCUGAAAAUAAAGCACUCCUUUUAUAUAAAUAGGAGGAGGAGGUUUAAUCGAGUGUUCGGUAUCAAUUUCUAUCAAAUCAGCAGAAUCUUCCGACUCAUAGUAGUAUAGGUUUUAAAAUAAAAUCUUUAAUAUGAAAUAAGUAAGAACUUCUGACUGAAUUUUUAAUUUGUUAAUAACUUUAUUUGAAAGUCAUAUUGUUUUAAAGUUUUUUAGGUUUUGAAACAUAUGUAGAGUACAUCUUCAGAUGGAUAUAUUAAACCACCUUCAUUACUACCUCUCUUAUUUUUUAAAGUAAUAAGGGAGUUAAAAAAUCAGUCUCUUUCAACUGAACAUAAUUUCCACUGUUAACAAUAUAAUUAAGAUACAAAUAAUUAAUUCUUACUCUUUCCUCGUAUUAUCCAUUGUUCAUAUUUCCAUUUGCGACGAACACGACAUUGGUGUCAACAUUUAUUGGACGAGUAUGAAUCACAUGGUCAUAAGCACUCAAUGCAUUCUCCAUAGUCGCAAUCACCAUCGUUAGGGUCUACCGAGUUAUUCGGGGUUUUAAUUUUUAAGUCUUUCAUAACUUUUUCCACUAUCCAUCUUCUUAUCCAUUUUUUAAAUUGGGUUACACUAAAAUUCUUAUUGGAAUUUUUUAGAUAACACUGAAUCAGAACUGAACUGUACCAUGUUCUAAGUGAAGGUUUUUUUUCGCUGAGCAUAUUAAAACUAUAGUUGUUUUUUAAAUUAAUGUAUUUUGACGUUAAAGAUUUUAUGAGAAGAGUUACAUGAUCUUUUAAUGGACUUCUGGUUUCGCAGCUAUGGCUUUGUAGUGACUUAAAAAUAUUUGAAUUGUAUAUAAAAUAAGUAUGAACAUCUGACUGAAUUUUUAAUUUGUUAAUAACUUUAUUUGAAAAGUCAUAUUGUUUUAAAGUUUUUUCGGUUUUGAAACAUAUGUAGAGUACAUCUUCAGAUGGAUGUAUUAAACCACCUUCAUUACUACCUCUCUUAUUUUUUAAAGUAAUAAGGGAGUUAAAAAAACAGUCUCUUUCAACUGAACAUAAUUUCCAAUGUUUACAAUAUAAUUAAGAUACAAAUAGUUAAUUCUUACUUUUUCCUCGUAUUAUCCAUUGUUCAUAUUUCAAUUUGCGACGAACACGACAUUGGUGUCAACAUUUAUUGGACGAGUAUGACUCACAUGGCCAUAAGCACUCAAUGCAUUCUCCAUAGUCGCAAUCACUAUCGUUAGGGUCUACCGAGUUAUUCGGGGCUUUAAUUUUUAAGUCUUUCAUAAUUUUUUCCAUUAUCCAUUUUCUUAUCCAUUUUUUAAUUUGGGUUACACUAAAAUUCUUAUUGGAAUUUUUUAGAUAACACUGAAUCAGAACUGAACUGUACCAUGUUCUAAGUGAAGGUUUUUUUUCGCUGAGCAUAUUAAAACUAUAGUUGUUUUUUAAAUUAAUGUAUUUUGACGUUAAAGAUUUUAUGAGAAGAGUUACAUGAUCUGUUAAUGGACUUCUGGUUUCGCAGCUAUGGCUUUGUAGUGACCUAAAAAUAUUUGAAUUGAAUAUAAAAUAAGUAAGAACUUCAGACUGAAUUUUUAAUUUGUUAAUAACUUUAUUUGAAAAGUCAUAUUGUUUUAAAGUUUUUUCGGUUUUGAAACAUAUGUAGAGUACAUCUUCAGAUGGAUAUAUUAAACCACCUUCAUUACUACCUCUCUUAUUUUUUAAAGUAAUAAGGGAGUUAAAAAAACAGUCUCUUUCAACUGAACAUAAUUUCCAAUGUUUACAAUAUAAUUAAGAUACAAAUAGUUAAUUCUUACUUUUUCCUCGUAUUAUCCAUUGUUCAUAUUUCAAUUUGCGACGAACACGACAUUGGUGUCAACAUUUAUUGGACGAGUAUGACUCACAUGGCCAUAAGCACUCAAUGCAUUCUCCAUAGUCGCAAUCACCAUCACCAUCGUUAGGGUCUACCGAGUUAUUCGGGGUUUUAAUUUUUAAGUCUUUCGUAAUUUUUUCCACUAUCCAUUUUCUUAUCCAUUUUUUAAAUUGGGUUACACUAAAAUUCUUAUUGGAAUUUUUUAGAUAACACUGAAUCAGAACUGAACUGUACCAUGUUCUAAGUGAAGGGUUUUUUUCGCUGAGCAUUUUCAAACUAUAGUUGUUUUUUAAAUUAAUGUAUUUUGACGUUAAAGAUUUUAUGAGAAGAGUUACAUGAUCUGUUAAUGGACUUCUGGUUUCGCAGCUAUGGCUUUGUAGUGACUUAAAAAUAUUUGAAUUGUAUAUAAAAUAAGUAAGAACUUCAGACUGAAUUUUUAAUUUGUUAAUAACUUUAUUUGAAAAGUCAUAUUGUUUUAAGGUUUUUUCGCUUUUGAAACAUAUGUAGAGUACAUCUUCAGAUGGAUAUAUUAAACCACCUUUAUUACCUUAAUUUUUCAAGGUAAUAAGGGAGUUAAAAAAACAGUCAUGCGAGUGAAGUCCCUUCAGCACAUGGUCCCUCGUCUCUGCGAACGGGAGAACCAAAUCUCGGCACAAUCGUACUUUAGGUUGGAAAUAAUUCUUGACAUGUUUGUCUUUGCGCUGGACACACGCUUUCAACAAGUCGUAACGAUCAGACGUGUUCAACGAACGCACAAAAGUGGUUCGGAAUCGGGACUCAAAAUCCGACCAUCCAUCAAAAGUUCAGCCGCAGAACUUUUGUUUUAUAAGUUGCAUCAAGCAGGCAGGUGUUACCAUACCGUGUUAUUAAAUGUCUUUACUAUUCUGUUUGAUGGCAGAAAAUAAGUGGUUUAUACUACCAUCAGAUUCGUUAUAUGGCCGAAAAAUAAGUUAUCAUUUGAGUAGGAUUUUUUCCACAGUUCGAUUUUAAUUUUGAACAGCCAGGAUCAUUCGUUUUUCAUCAAUCUGAUGAAGUUUUAAAAAGUGUUUCAACUUAAGAGUUAACUAUUACAAUAAUAAGUUUAUUUAAAUGGAGUUUAAUGGGCCUAUCAUUUGACUGUUUAGGUAAGAUAAACUGUUAAUUAGAAAAUUAAUUGUAAUUCUAACCUUAAUUAUUAUAGUAGGACUUAAAAAUCUGUUUACUGUAUUGUUUAGGCACCUAUAUUACAUUUUUAAAUUUUUAUAGUAUACUACUGUUACUUAACUAUUCAUUUUAAAUGUAGGCUGCAUCAAUGUUCCUAUACCUGCCUUAAUUCUUAUUUUAAAAUGUUAGGCACGUCUAAAUUAUAAAUGAAUACAGGGAAAACUAUUAAUUGUACUUAAAAUGAUGAAUUCCUAUGCAUACAUACAAAUAAAAAUUUAAAUAAAUAUUGAAUAAAAAUAUAAUAACCCCCAAUUUGGUUUGUAUUUGACUUGAAUAUUCUGGUAUAUAUUAUAUUGUCUAUAACCCUGUACACCGGAACCGUAAAUAAAUCAUUGCACGCAAUACUCAAGUCUAGCGAAAUUUGAGAAUCGUUUAUAAAAAAUCUUCCUAAUAUAAUUUACUUAAUUCUCUUCUGUUGUUUGUUUUCUGUACAGCAGUGUGUGGUUUUACUGUAUAAAAAAUACAAGAUAUAAAUUUCACCAAAUCUUCGGAAGUUAGCGAUAGAAAUUCAUCAUUUUCAACCACUUCUCUAAAAAUGAUGUUCACACAGUUAAACGCUUUGAUUUUAAGACAAUUUGAAAAAUUAAGUUGAUUUUGUACCACUUCUCUGAAAAUAAUAAUCAUAUUUAUAAUUAAUUACUGAUUGAUAUAUAGAAUCAAGUUAUGGUUAUCAUACAAACAGUUUUGUUUAAUAAAUGCUUCAGAACUCGAUAACAAUUCCACACAGUUAAACGCUCUGAUUCUAAGACAAUUUGAAAAAUUAAGUUGAUUUUGUACCAAAUCUUUAGAAGUUAGUGAUAGGAAUUCAUCAUUUUCUACCACCUCUCUGAAAAUAAUAAUCAUUAUAUUUAUAAUUAAUUACUGAUUGAUAUAGAGAAUCAAGUUAUGAUUAUCAUACAAACAAUUUUGUUUAAUAAAUGCUUCAGAAUUCGAUAACAAUUUCACACAGUUAAACGCUUUGAUUUUAAGACAAUUUGAAAAAUUAAGUUGAUUUUGUACCAAAUCUUCGGAAGUUAGCGAUAGAAAUUCAUCAUUUUCAACCACUUCUCUAAAAAUGAUAAUCAUUAUAUUUAUAAUUAAUUACUGAUUGAUAUAGAGAAUCAAGUUAUGAUUAUCAUACAAACAGUUUUGUUUAAUAAAUGUUUCAGAAUUCGAUAACAAUUCCACACAGUUAAACGCUUUGAUUUUAAGACAAUUUGAAAAAUUAAGUUGAUUUUGUACCAAAUCUUCAGAAGUUAGUGAUAGGAAUUCAUCAUUUUCUACCACUUCUCUGAAAAUAAUAAUCAUUAUAUUUAUAAUUAAUUACUGAUUAAUAUAGAGAAUCAAGUUAUGAUUAUCAUACAAACAGUUUUGUUUAAUAUAUGCUUCAGAUUUCUAUAACAAAAUUCCACACAGUUAUAUGACUUUGUAAACUGAUUGCUCUGAUUUCAAGACAAUUUGAAGAAUUAAGUUGAUUUUGUAAAAACAUAACACUUGCACUUAUUACAUAAUCUAACUUUAAGAAUUUGGCAGCCUAUAACAACCCUUUAAAAGUCAACUAUAGUUCACAAAAAAUUAUAUUGUUAACAAAUGGAGCUACUAGCUCUGGAAUAGCUGAUGCUCAGGUCAGGAUAAGGUUAAAAUUCGAUAAAUUGUAUUAGACAAAAUAUAAUGUUACGGUUCGGUUUAUAAUUUAUUGUCACGAUUUAUGAAAAAUAUUCUAUAUGCACACACGUAGCUAGACGAAGCUCGGUGGCAGUACUGGGUAUAUUAACAUACAAUUGUUGAACGUAAAACUAGAAAUAAUAAAGUAUAGUAGUAAAGUCUGUUACGGUCGUCGGGGACGCGGAACAAUACGGUGUUUGAUUGAAUAAUGAAAUCGGGGCAUUCACAAAUAAAUACAUGUGUACAAAUAUUACACUAACGACAUUUCAGCUUACAAUUAUCUGUGUCACAAAUAUCUUGCCCUUUACUGACAUUUUAGGCACUGACUUGGAAGAGCCAGUGCCCGAACUCUAGCAUCAGAUUUCAUAAUAUCAUGUAAUUUGUUGUCCAUAUUUUCAAUUCCUUUACUGAGUCGAGCAUUUGAAUUAAUCAAUAAAAUCAUUUGAAGUGACAAUUCUUUAAGAGUAGAUUUGUAAUAAUUAUUAAUUUUGAAUUACACAACUAGUCUAAAAUAAAAAAAAUAUUUAAAAUUAGUCAAGUAAAUAAAGUAUCUAAAAUUAAAAAUAAAAAUAAAAAUAUACAAGCAUGUUUUUGUUUCCAAUAAUUGGUUGACUUUGCUCAUCUACCAAUAUAAAAUCUAUACAUUCAACUGGGAUGGAAUGAAGUCUGGGAUGAAUGUUUUUCGUAACAGUUCUUCCUUUUUAAUGCAUUCAGUGCUACUGCAACAAAAAUGGAAAGUAUAUUAAUGAAAUAAUUAUCCAUUAUAUCUAGUUAUAAGUACUCUAUUCAAUAUUCACCUCGUUUAUUAUAACAGUCGGGUAGACCAGCGCACUGUGACACGCGAUCGGCCAGACCUGUUCGUACCAGCACUUGUGAUGAAUCUGAGUUGAUGAGACAGGGGGUCUGGUGUUCGUUAUAAUAUACUGUGCUUCAUUUUGAAUGGAACAUCUUCCGACACAUCAAAACGAAAACUAUAUAACGUGUUUAACCCAGGGCGGUCGUUAAAAGUGGCUCGAUACUUGUCCAAUAAACUGAAAAGUUUCGCUCGUUUUUCAUCCGAUACUUCAUGAGAACUAUCAAUACACUUGGACCAGGACGUUUUUGGUUGAUCAGUCACCCUUGUGCCUUGCUCAGUAGCAGUCAUAGUAGCCGCAUCGAACCAAUCUGUUGACCCUCUGUGUUGAUCUCAUCAGAUCUCCCUUGAGAGAAUCCGUACUUUUUUCGGUACUACAACCGGUUCGGGAUGAAUGUCUUACAAAACAGUUCUUUCUCUUUAGUGCAUUCAAGCGACUGCAACAAAAGUUGAAGGUACUUUAAAGAAAUAAUUAUCAUGUAUAUCCAAUUAUCGGCGCACAUGGUAUCAACCGUCUUCGUGGACGGACGAUGUGCGACAGUGUACGACUUCCGUAGUUUGUUGGAGUCUCUUGCUAUGCGCCCGCUUCCGUUACAUUUGUUACACCGAUCCGUGGAAGCGGACGAACUACGGGGUCCCGUCACGAUGUCUGAUGCACCCUGGUGAAUCCGUACUUUUUUCGGUACUACAACCGUUUCGGGAUGAAUGUCUUACAAAACAGUUCUUUCUCUUUAGUGCAUUCAAGCGACUGCAACAAAAGUUGAAGGUACAAUAAAGAAAUAAUUAUCAUGUAUAUUCAAUUAUCGGCGCAUAUUGUUUCAACCGUCUUCGUGGACGGACGAGGUGCGACAGUGUACGACUUCCGUAGUUUGUUGGAGUCUCUUGCUAUGCGCCCGCUUCCGUUACAUUUGUUACACCGAUCCGUGGAAGCGGACGAACUACGGGGUCCCGUCACGAUGUCUGAUGCACCCUGGUGAAUCCGUACUUUUUUCGGUACUACAACCGUUUCGGGAUGAAUGUCUUACAAAACAGUUCUUUCUCUUUAGUGCAUUCAAGCGACUGCAACAAAAGUUGAAGGUACAAUAAAGAAAUAAUUAUCAUGUAUAUUCAAUUAUCGGCGCAUAUUGUUUCAACCGUCUUCGUGGACGGACGAGGUGCGACAGUGCACGACUUCCGUAGUUUGUAGGAGUCUCUUGCUAUGCGCCCGCUUCCGUUACAUUUGUUACACCGAUCCGUGGAGGCGGACGAACUACGGGGUCCCGUCACGAUGUCCGAUGCACCCUGGUGAAUCCGUACCUUUUUCGGUACUACAGCGAUAAUUAUUCGAUUGUAGACCACUGUGUUUCGCGUUCUUCAUCAACAAGUAAUCCACCGCUUCCUUCCUCACUUUGCCCAUUACCACUGUCUUCCCUACAUCGUAUUUCACCCUUGACAGUGACGCUGAUGUAUAAUGUUUUUAUGCGCGACUGACUGAGCGAUCGCCAAACGUGCGUAAUUCUGAAGGUCACGCGGAUCUAUCCAAUCAUCGAGAGUAUGGAAUGGUCAACGACGACACAGAUGGGAAUGAUCUUCAGCUUACGAUCCAUCAAUCAUUAUGCUCGCGGUGGUCUCAACCAAGAGUCACCACACUCGGUGUGUCCACAUCACCGACCGUAUAAUAUACGGUUCGGGAUGAAUGUCUUACAAAACAGUUCUUUCUCUUUAGUGCAUUCAAGCGACUGCAACAAAAGUUGAAGGUACAUUAAAGAAAUAAUUAUCAUGUAUAUCCAAUUAUCGGCGCACAUGGUAUCAACCGACUUCGUGGACGGACGAUGUGCGACAGUGCACGACUUCCGUAGUUUGUUGGAGUCUCUUGCUAUGCGCCCGCUUCCGUUACAUUUGUUACACCGAUCCGUGGAAGCGGACGAACUACGGGGUCCCGUCACGAUGUCUGAUGCACCCUGGUGAAUCCGUAUCUUUUUCGGUACUACAGCGAUAAUUAUUCGAUUGUAGACCACUGUGUUUCGCGUUCUUCAUCUACAAGUAAUCCACCGCUUCCUUCCUCACUUUGCCCAUUACCACUGUCUUCCCUACAUCGUAUUUCACCCUUGACAGUGACGCUGAUGUAUAAUGUUUUUAUGCGCGACUGACUGAGCGAUCGCCAAACGUGCGUAAUUCUGAAGGUCACGCGGAUCUAUCCAAUCAUCGAGAGUAUGGAAUGGUCAACGACGACACAGAGGGGAAUGAUCUUCAGCUUACGAUCCAUCAAUCAUUAUGCUCGCGGUGGUCUCAACCAUGAGUUACCACACUCAUUGUGUCCACAUCACCGACCGUAUAAUAUACGGUUCGGGAUGAAUGUCUUACAAAACAGUUCUUUCUCUUUAGUGCAUUCAAGCGACUGCAACAAAAGUUGAAGGUA